GUGGGUAGCAAUAUUCGCGGUGUUCAGCGGCGCAAGGGUGCGUAACACGUGGGCAAUCUGCCCCGAAGACUGGAAUAACUCCGAGAAAUCGGAGCUAAUAUCGGAUGUGACUCCUGUGUGGCAACAUGUAGGAUACAAAGCCGGGGACCGCAAGGCCUGGCACUUCGGGAUGAGCCCGCGGCCUAUCAGCUUGUUGGCGGGGUAAAAGCCCACCAAGGCUAAGACGGGUAGCUGGUCUGAGAGGACGACCAGCCACACUGGAACUGAGACACGGUCCAGACACCUACGGGUGGCAGCAGUCGAGAAUUUUCACAAUGGGCGAAAGCCUGAUGGAGCGACGCCGCGUGGGGGAUGAAUGGCUUCGGCCCGUAAACCCCUGUCAUGGGCGAUCAAAGCCUUUCCGUGAAUAUCGGGAAGGACUGAUGGUAGUUCAAGAGGAAGGGACGGCUAACUCUGUGCCAGCAGCCGCGGUAAUACAGAGGUCCCAAGCGUUGUUCGGACUCACUGGGCGUAAAGGGUGCGUAGGCGGUCGGGUAAGUCUAGCGUGAAAUCCCGUGGCUCAACCACGGAACUGCGUCGGAAACUAUUCGGCUUGAGGGUGCGAGGGGGGACUGGAAUUCUCGGUGUAGCAGUGAAAUGCGUAGAUAUCGAGAGGAACACCAGUGGCGAAGGCGAGUCCCUGGAGCACACCUGACGCUGAGGCACGAAAGCUAGGGGAGCAAACAGGAUUAGAUACCCUGGUAGUCCUAGCCCUAAACGGUGCACGUUUGCUGUAAGAGGAAUCGACCCCUCUUGUGGCGUAGCUAACGCGUUAAACGUGCCGCCUGGGAAGUACGGCCGCAAGGUUAAAACUCAAAGAAAUUGACGGGGGCCUGCACAAGCGGUGGAGUAUGUGGCUUAAUUCGAUUCUACGCGAAGAACCUUACCUGGCCUUGACAUGUGGGUGGUAGAAGGGUGAAAGCCCGACGACCUCGCAAGAGGAGCCUACACAGGUGCUGCAUGGCUGUCGUCAGCUCGUGUCGUGAGAUGUUGGGUUAAGUCCCGCAACGAGCGCAAUCCCUGCGUCCUGUUGCCACCCAGCCGAGAGGCUGGAGCACUCUGGACGGACCGCCCCGCUUCAACGGGGAGGAAGGUGGGGAUGACGUCAAGUCAGUAUGGCCCUUAUGGCCAGGGCUGCACACGUACUACAAUGCUCGGUACAAAGGGAAGCAAUACCGUCAGGUGGAGCAAAUCCCCAAAAACCGAGCCCAGUUCAGAUUGUCGUCUGCAACUCGACGGCAUGAAGCCGGAAUCGCUAGUAAUGGCGCAUCAGCUACGGCGCCGUGAAUACGUUCCCAGGCCUUGUACACACUGCCCGUCACAUCAUGAAAGCCGGUCGUACCCGAAGUCGCCCCUAAAAAGGUGCCGAAGGUAUGGCUGGUGAUUGGGAUGAAGUCGUAACAAGGUA
rnacentral:rRNA from 1 species